rnacentral:rRNA from 1 species
AAUCAACGCUGGCGGCGUGCCUCAGACAUGCAAGUCGAACGCGAAAGUUCCCUCGGGGAAUAAGUAGAGUGGCGCACGGGUGAGUAACACGUAGGUAAUCUACCUUCGGGUGGGGAAUAACCCAGGGAAACUUGGGCUAACACCGCAUGAUGCAGCGGCACCACAUGGUGACAGUUGUUAAAGCGGGGGAUUUUCGGACCUCGCGCCUGAAGAGGAGCCUGCGGCGGAUUAGCUAGNGGUGAGGUAACGGCUCACCAAGGUAACGAUCCGUAGCCGGCCUGAGAGGGCGGUCGGCCACACUGACACUGACAUACGGGUCAGACUCCUACGGGAGGCAGCAGUCGGGAAUUUGGGCAAUGGGCGAAAGCCUGACCCAGCAACGCCGCGUGAAGGAUGAAAUCCCUCGGGAUGUAAACUUCGCAAGAAUGGGAAGAAUUAGCGAGCGCUAAUACCGCUCGUGAUGACGGUACCAUUUGUAAGCUCCGGCUAACUCCGUGCCAGCAGCCGCC